GUCAGUGGCCAGAGUCGGGUGAUGGGGUAAGACAGGGCCAGAGAGGGAGGAAACAGACGCAAACAUGCGGAGUCGGGUGGGGACACGGUCAGCCCUGAAACACGAGGGGCGUGCGCAGCGAAGGCAGUGGUGGGAACCGAGGCGGAUACAUUCAGAGACGCGUCGAACAAAUAAAUAAGGCAAGUCAGGAGGGGGCCGAGUCGGGUGCAGGCAGGAGGAGCUGGGGAGCAGGGGCAGGCAGGGCUCCGGAGGUCACAGCGGAAGAUGCAGGUAUGUGGGGCGCGGGUUUUCUGGAGCCAGGACCAAAAGAGACGGGGCACGACCAGGAGGGACGAGGAGAGGGGUGUGGGAGCAAGGCGUGGGGAGGAGGGAGGAGGCCUACAGAGGGCUCCAACAAAGGUGAACAGGAAAGCUGCCGACAGGGGCUCCCCCUGCCCCAGAAAGCCCUCUCCCUGUUAAGACUGCACGAGGCGCCCCCAGGGUGGUGAGAAAGGCGGUGGCCAGGUCAUGUGGCCAGUCCCGGCUGGGGAAGCCCUUCCAGCUCCUGGUUCUGCUUCAGUUCCCUCAUCCUGCAGAGAGAAAGAUAGGAGUCAGAGGAGACUGGCGGAUCACGACGGGUGGCAACGCAAAAGCCCAGGGGGAGAAGGGAUGAGUACCUGUGUCGGCAGCGCCGCAGGAAUCUCAUGAUCUUCCGGGCUGCCUGGUCCUGCUUCUUGGUGAGAAAGGAGCCUCUGGUGAAAGAAACAAAAGAUGGACCUCACAGAAGGCAUCGCAUGCCUUCGGCCCCCCCAGGAACCCUAGGCAGGGAAUGGCAGUGAGGCAUGAUGAUCAAGAGGAUGAGUAAGGGGGAAUGGCGUGGAUGCAGUGGGUGGGCACAGAGGGCUGGGGCUGGGCCCUACUUGUUGCGGGCAGGCAGGGUGGCCGAAGUCCGGUGGGGAGGGCCGGGCCUGCGGCGGUAGGAGCGGUAGUGCUGCUGGAUGAGCACAGCCGCUCGGCGGCUCUGCUGAAAUCGCUUCUGUUCAUAGUAGCUUCGGAACUUGCUCUGGAUCAGGAUGGCCGCCUGGGUCAUCUUCUUAUAGAGUGCAAACUGCAGGGGUGGGGAGGAGGGACAGGGGCUGAAAUAGAGGGACGGAGACCCAAAGCCCUGAGGCUCACCCAAGUUAGGCUGAUGCAAGACUCUCUGUAACCCACACACUCAAGGAAAGACUGAAUCAUCACAGACCUCACACUCAGAGCUCAUGCCUAAUACCUUAAGUGCAAUCCAGGUCAGCUUGUGGAGAGAGAAGGGGAGUUAGGGCUCUGGCAACAUUCUGGAAUGGUUAGGCGUGGGUGUGGGUUGGUGGGUUGCUGGUUACACUUUUGAGGGAGAAGGGUCUCACCUGCUUGUACUUCCGGUAACAGCGCUGGAUUACAGCUGCUGCUACCUCCUGCUGCUCCUUCAGCCGCCGGCCCUGAAGGGAGAGAAGUCUCACCACCUCAUGACCCACAUAAUGGCAUAUCUGACUUGUCCCUUCAACUUUCCUGGGGUUCCCCUGACCCUUUACCCCAUCCAAGGCCUGUCUGCACGACUACUCAUCCUCCAAAAGCCCUGGGAGCCCAGUCUCCCCUGACUGGAGAUUGUGUAAUUCAUCCUGAGACCCCUGCCCCUGACCUUGUACUUUCGGAAGGCCGUCUGGAUGACUCGGGCAGCCUCAUACAGUUCCCGCUGCUCGUGAUCUGAUAGUGUCAGCAGGGCAAAAUCACUUUCCAUCUUGCCACUGGUGGAUGCAGAGAGAAACUCUGCCCAGGAGGGUGCUGAAGGGACAGCCAGGCGACCUCGCUCAAAGGGCAGUUCGCUGUAGGCGGUAGGGAAAGAGGGUGUCAUGAAGCAUCUGAAGUCCCUCCUCUGCCACCUAUGGAUGGCUACGAAGGAAAACCACCAG
rnacentral:lncRNA from 1 species